GGCGAGUGAAGCGGGAAGAGCUCAAGCUUAAAAUCUCCGUGCAAGUUUUGUGCGGCGAAUUGUAGUCUAUAGAGGCGUGGUCAGCGUGGGCGCUUGGGGCAAGUUCCUUGGAAGAGGACAGCAUGGAGGGUGAUACUCCCGUUCAUCCCUGAGUGGCUCGUGCGUACGACCCGUUUUCUUUGAGUCGCGUUGUUUGGGAAUGCAGCGCAAAGUAGGUGGUAAAUUCCAUCUAAAGCUAAAUAUUGGUGCGAGACCGAUAGCGAACAAGUACCGUGAGGGAAAGAUGAAAAGAACUUUGAAAAGAGAGUUAAAGAGUACCUGAAACUGCUGAAAGGGAACCGAAUCGUUUCCAGUGUCUAUAAUCUGUGGCAUAUUUCAUUGGCGAGCGUUUGCGUGCGUGUGCUGUGGCAGUGGCUUUUUUGGCUGCGCCUGGUGUGUGUGGUGUGAGUGUUUGCUGGUGCCCUGUGCUGCGGUGGGACGUCAAGGUCAGUUCGUAUGCUGCGGGAAAUGGCUGCCGAGGAGGUAGGGCUUACGCUCCGCGUUUGUCUGUUAUAUCUUGGUGGACGAGUCGUCGCGGUUGGGACUGAGGUGCCUACAACGUGCUUUUGAGUGGGUUUGUGUCUCCGUGUGCGCCGUGUGCGGAUAGCUUGCUAUGCGUGUGUGGUUGUGUGUGGAUUGAUGCGGGCCUUAACUUGUCGCCGUUCGGGACGUUGACGAAAUGGAGCGAUCCGACCCGUCUUGAAACACGGAC
rnacentral:rRNA from 1 species